CCAAUUUCCCAUACGCCACGAGAUUUCAUGAGCGACCUAAACCCUUACGUCGUGGAAUAUCUAGUGCACAGUUAAUAACACUCCAGCACAACACAGCGGUGGUUUCAGUCGUUGGAGAAGACGGGCAAAAGGCCUGGCCUGGUUCAGUGGCGGCUAAUGGGUAGCACACACCCAUACACAUGGUGCACCGGGUUAAGGUUCACGGCAGAGGUCAGCUGGAUGCUGCCUGGGUGCCACAAAUCUAUUACCAUCCUCCUGGCUCAUGGCCAAAGAUGUUUCCAGCUUUAGGAAAAUGCAGGCUUGAAUGACUCAUGCAAAGAAGAAAACACUUUUAAUUCCCUGGGCUUUCUGAAGAAGAAGAAUGAUUCACUUGGGGGCCAGUGACGAAUCAGGCAUGCCUUAAAUUGCACCACUGCCUGAACUGGCACUGUGUGGGACAAUGCUACUCAGGUCAUGGAACAAGAGGACGUUCCGGCCGUUAAUGAACCAAUGUCUGGCCACGCCCCUUACUGUAUGUUCACAGUGAGACUGCACAUCAGAUCAUUUUAAUGUGGACCAUUAGUGGCGCGUGUUUUGCAUGUUAAGUGCUAGGAGCUGAAUACUGUUAAUAUAUACUGCAAGUGUGCUGAUUAUUUCCUCUGUGUCGUAUCACUGUAUCAUAAAGCAUGGCUGUGUCUGUGAUCUUUUAAUGCUUAUUUAGUCUCCUGGAAAGCUGUACUGUAGACAUGCAUUGCAUUUUCAGUUAAUGCCUCUGUCUCACCGGAUCUCUGUUUGAAUCUGCUGUUUCUGUCACGGAAAAUUAAGUAGUUUAAUCACUAAAAUCUCAUUUCGAAGCCCUGCAGCCUUUAGAAGCCGCACAGACGAUGUGUCGAUGCACUGGAGGAGCCAAUGAGAUGCAACACUGUUAAAUGGAAUCGCUGCUCUAAGAGGAGAGGCAGCAGUGCUUUGGUUCCAAGGUGUCCAGUGGCCCCCAGUACGACCCUACAUUGGCUGGGCUGUUCUUCAGGGUGUCUGACUGAAGUCUCUGCCUUUCCUAAACUGACUGUGGUCUCAGAAUUCACCAAAUAGGCUACAAUUAUUUAUCGCUUGGCUUCAGCAGCAUUGACAUUGUUAAUGGCGGUCUACGUGGUGAGGAAAUGUUGUUUAUGUAGUUAAUGUCUAAUGAUAAAUUACUAAU